GCAGUCACAAGUGGGGUCAUAGCAGGAGCAUUCAUGUUGCGACCCCUGUCAGGUAAUACGUGUUAAUACCUGCAAAUUCUGCU
rnacentral:ribozyme from 2 species